UUUUUUUUUUUUUUCCAACACGUUGAACAAAUUAAAAAAGAAAAAAUUUAAAGAAGUAAAAAAAAAAACAAUGUAAGAUACAUGUGACUAAUUGAACAACAUACAAAAAUUGUAUAAAGCCUUUUUAUGACUUACAUAUUUUCGAAACAAUUUUCAAAUAUGCUAAAAAUAUAUACAUAUCUAAAAAUUUGGUAUUAGUUAUUUUUUAUACAUGCCUAUAUGUAUGAACAGGCAAAAUAUAAAAUUGAAAUAAGAGAUUGAAAAGACAAUAUAAUAGUUUUGUUUUUCUUUCUUAUUUUUGAUUCACACGUAUAAUAUUUAUUUAUAUAGUACGACAAUUAUAUUCUUCGCAUAAAUGUGUACAUAUAUAUAUUAAAACCUAGCAAGAGAUGAAUCUCCCUACCAAAGAUAAAUUAACGAACUUAAAAGAUUUAGCACAAUUUUAUAAAAAAGACAAUGAAAAACUGAAUGAAAACACCGACCAUCUUGUAUACUCCGUUAAAAAAAGAUUAAAUGAAAUAAAAGAAAAGGGUGAUGAAGAGUUUAAUGAUUAUACAACCACGAAGAAAAACUUAGAGCUAUUAAACAGAAAAUUAAAGAUAACACAACAAUCUUUUGAUCAACGAAAAUUUGAAAAUGAAGAACUGCGAAACAGAAAUGAUGAAGCACUACGAAAAUAUGAAAACCUUAAACAUGCCAAAUACACCUACCAAUUAAUGUUACAAAGAAUUAAAAAAGAAAAAAAGCUCUUAUAUUUUUAUUUAAAUUCGCUAGAAAGAACUGUGAAAGUUUUAAAAAGUACUGAGCAAUAUGCCAACAAAAGUCUUCAAAAAAAAAUAUUAGAAAAUAAAAAAUUGAAAAAAGCUAUAGAAGAAAAAAAAAUGGAAAUUUAUGAAAUAAAAACCAAAAAUAACGAUAUAUUAAAAUACAUGCAUGUUGAUAAAGAACAUAGUAAUAUAUUAAGAAUAAGGAGAGAGAUGAUCAACGAAUAUAAAAUUAAAAGAUUAAAAAAUGCUGAUAUACAAUUACUGAUAUACAAAAAAGGAAAAUAUAAAAAACUUGCUUUGUAUUACAUUCUUUAUGGUAAUUAUCUAAAAUUAAAAGCUUCAGCUAUUUUUGACAAUGCAAGUAAUAUAUAUGCUGCCAUAUCCAAAUUAAGAGAAGCGACGGGUGUUACGGACAUAUACGAUAUAAAUCAGAAAUUUAUAGACAUUGAAAAUAAAAAAAUUAUAUUAAAAAAAGAAGAAGAAAUAUCUCAACUAAAACUAGAAGACGCUAUUAGAGCAUUUGUUGCCACAAAUGAUGAAAUACUAAACGAAUUUGAAGCCGCACAAGAAGAACAAGCAACACAAGCGACAGAUGAAAAACCUAUAAAAAAAAAACGUAUUACAGUAGACGAAAUGCUGGAAUUGUAUAGAAACGUUUUUAACGGAGAAAGAGAACUGUCAGAUCUUAAUAUCAAGUUAGAAAAUAUACGAUAUUAUAUGGACAAACAAAAUAAAUAUUUUUAUUCAAUAAAUAUAGAGGAUAGAAUCGAGUUUAAUUCUCACGAUGACGUGUUGCAAUAUUUAAAGAACUUUAAAGGGCCUCUUAGUAUAAUUAUGAAAUUAACACGAAAAAACCGAGAGAAUGGAAACUUUAGCAAAUCCUACAGAUCUUUAGAAUUUUUCGAUAUUUUAAAUAUGUAUAAAAAUUUGAAUUUUCACAAGAAUAUGUGCAAAGUUGAUGUUGGACGUGAGAUCAAGAAAACAGUAAAAAUAGAAUCAAAAGUGCUAACUAAAAAAAAACGUACUUAAUUAAUUGCCCUCUGGAGAUAUCCUUUAGUAUUAUACACACGUACAU
rnacentral:lncRNA from 1 species